rfam:Nicotiana attenuata strain TT scaffold07615, whole genome shotgun sequence.
UAAUUGUAAUGAGGACAGUCUCUGAGUAGCCCCUUGAACUUCUCCCCAGCUGAGUAUAAAGACUCCUCCGCUUUCUGUUUGAAGGUCGCUAUUUCACUUCUAAACUU